AGUGAACGCUGGCGGCAGGCCUAACACAUGCAAGUCGAACGGCAGCACAGCAGUAGCAAUACUGUGGGUGGCGAGUGGCGGACGGGUGAGGAAUACAUGGGAAUCUACCCUGUCGUGGGGGAUAACGUAGGGAAACUUACGCUAAUACCGCAUACGACCGAGAGGUGAAAGCGGCGGACCGCAAGGCGUCGCGCGAUUGGAUGAGCCCAUGUCGGAUUAGCUAGUUGGCGGGGUAAAGGCCCACCAAGGCGACGAUCCGUAGCUGGUCUGAGAGGACGAUCAGCCACACUGGAACUGAGACACGGUCCAGACUCCUACGGGAGGCAGCAGUGGGGAAUAUUGGACAAUGGGCGCAAGCCUGAUCCAGCCAUGCCGCGUGAGUGAAGAAGGCCUUCGGGUUGUAAAGCUCUUUUGUCCGGAAAGAAAAGCUCUCGGUUAAUACCCGGGGGUGAUGACGGUACCGGAAGAAUAAGCACCGGCUAACUUCGUGCCAGCCGCCGCCGUAAAAC
rnacentral:rRNA from 1 species